rfam:Ipomoea nil DNA, scaffold: scaffold2957, cultivar: Tokyo-kokei standard.
GCUAAAAUAGCUCAGUUGGUUAGAGCGUGUGGCUGUUAACCACAAGGUUAGAGGUUCAAGCCCUCCUUCUAGCG